rnacentral:lncRNA from 1 species
GAUAUGUGAUGUAUGAGAUUGAUCAUGUUCUUGUAAUAGGAUUCACGACUUGCAUGUCGAUGAGUAUGACAACCGGCAGGAGCCAUAGGAGUUGUCUUUAUUUUUUGUAUGACCUGCGUGUCAUUGAAGAACGCCAUGUAACUUACUUUACUUUAUUGCUAAACGCGUUAGUCAUAGAAGUAGAAGUAGUCGUUGGCGUGACAACUUCAUGAAUACACGAUGAUGGAGAUCAUGAUGAUGGAGAUCAUGGUGUCAUGCCGGUGACAAGAUGAUCAUGGAGCCCCGAAGAUGGAGAUCAAUGGAGCUAUAUGAUAUUGGCCAUAUCAUGUCACAACUAUAUAAUUGCAUGUGAUGUUUAUUAUGAUUAUGCAUCUUGUUUACUUAGGACGACGGUAGUAAAUAAGAUGAUCCCUUACAAAUUUUCAAGAAGUGUUCUCCCCUAACUGUGCACCGUUGCUACAGUUCGUCGCUUCUAAGCACCACGUGAAGAUCGGGUGUGAUGGAUUCUUACGUUCACAUACAACGGGUGUAAGACAGUUUUACACAGCGAAAACACUUAGGGUUAACUUGACGAGCCUAGCAUGUGCAGACAUGGCCUCGAAACACGGAGACCGAAAGGUCGAGCAUGAGUCGUAUGGUAGAUACGAUCAACAUGAAGAUGUUCACCGAUGAUGACUAGUCCGUCUCACGUGAUGAUCGGACACGGCCUAGUUGACUCGGAUCAUGUAAUCACUUAGAUGACCAGAGGGAUGUCUAUCUAAGUGGGAGUUCGUAAGAUGAACUUAAUUAUCCUGAACAUAGUCAAAAGACCUUUUGCAAAUUAUGUCGUAGUUCACGCUAUAGUUCUACUGUUUUAGUUAUGUUCCUAGAGAAAAUAUAGUUGAAAGUUGAUAGUAGCAAUUAUGCGGACAAUAGAAAGCUUAUGUCCUUAAUGCACUGCUCAGUGUGCCGAACCCCAAACGUCGAUUGUGGAUGUUGCGAACAUCGGACAUACACAUUUUGAUAACUACGUGAUAGUUCAGUUAAACGGUUUAGAAUUGAGGCACCAAAGAUGUUUUUGAAACAUCACGAAACAUAUGAGAUGUUUUGAGGGCUGAAAUUGGGAUUUCAGGCUCGUGCCCACGUCAAGAGGUAUAAGACCUCCGACAAUUUUCUUAGCCUGCAAACUAAGGGAGAAAAGCUCAAUCGUUGAGCUUGUGCUCAGAUUGUCUGAGUGCAACAAUCACUUGAAUCGAGUGGGAGUUGAUCUUCCAGAUGAGAUAGUGAUGUUUCCCCAAAGUCAUUGCCACCAAGCUGCUAGAGCUUCGUGAUGAACUAUAACAUAUCAAGGAUAGAGAUGAUGAUCCUUGAGGUAUUCGCGUUGUUUGACAUCGCGAAAGUAGAAAUCAAGAAGGAACAUCAAUUGUUGAUGGUUGAUGAAACCACUAGUUUCAAAAGGGGCAAGGGAAAGAAGGGAUACUUCAUGAAACGGCAAAUCAGCUGCUGCACCAAUGAAGAAACCCAAGGUUGAACCCAAACCUGAGACUAAGUGCUUCUGUGAUAAGGGGAAUAGUCACUAGAGCAGAACUACCCUAGAUACUUGGUAGAUGAGAAGGCUGGCAAGGUCGAUAGAAGUAUAUUGGAUAUACAUUAUGUUAAUGUGUACUUUACUAGUACUCCUAGUAGCACCAGGGUAUAAGAUACCGGUUCGGUUGCUAAGUGUUAGUAACUCGAAAUAAAGAGCUACGGAAUAAACGGAGACUAGCUAAAGGUGAGCUGACGAUAUGUGUUGGAAGCAUUUCCAAGUUUGAUGUGAUCUAACAUCGCACGCUCCCUCUACCAUCAAAGAUUAGUAUUAAACCAGAAUAAUUAUCAUUUGGUGUUUGCGUUGAGCAUAGACAUGAUUGGAUUAUGUCUAUCGCAAUACGGUUAUUCAUUUAAGGAGAAUAAUGGUUACUCUAUUUAUUUGAAUAAUACCUUCGAUGGUCAUGCACCUAAAGGAAUGGUUUAUUGAAUCUCGAUCGUAGUGAUACACAUUUUCAUGCCAAAAGAUAUAAGAUAGUAAUGAUAGUACCACUUACUUGUGGCACUGCCAUGUAAGUCAUAAUGGUAUAAAACGCAUGAAGAAGCUCCAUGUUGAUGGAUCUUUGGACUCACUCGUUUUUGAAAAGUUUGAGACAUGCGAACCAUGUCUAUUGGUGUAUACGCAUGAAGAAACUCCAUGCAGAUGGAUCGUUUGGACUCACUUGAUUUUGGAUCACUUGAGAUAUGCAAAUCAUACCACAUAGGCAAGAUGACUGAAAAGCCUCGGUUUCAGUAAAAUGGAACAAGAUAGCAACUCGUUGGAAGUAACACAUUUUGAUGUGUGCAGUCCAAUGAGUGCUGAGGCAUGCAGUGAAUAUCGUUAUGUUCUUACUUCACAGAUGAUUUGAGUAGAUGUUGAGUAUAUUUACUUGAUGAAUCACGAGUCUAAAUUAUUGAAAGGUUCAAGUAAUUUCAGUGUGAAGUUGGAAGAUCGUCAUGAUAAGAGGAUAAAAAUAUCUAUGAUAUGAUCAUAGAGAUGAAUAUCUGAAUUACGAGUUUGGCACGGAAUUAAGACAUUGUGGAAAUUGUUUCACAACUAAUACAGCCUGGAACACCAUAGUGUGAUGGUGUGUCCGAACAUCAUAGUUGCACCAUAUUGGAUAUGGUGCGUACCAUGAUGUCUCUUAUCGAAUUACCACUAUUGUCCAUGGGUUAGGCAUUAGAGACAACCACAUUCACUUUAAAUAGGGCACCACGUAAUUCCGAUGAGAUGACACCGUAUGAAUUAUGGUUUAGAGAAACCUAAGUUGUCGUUUCUUAAAGGUUUGGGGCUGCGACGCUUAUGUGAAAAAGUUUCAGCUUGAUAAGCUCGAACCCAAAGCGGACAAAAUGCACCUUCAUAGGACACCCAAAACAGUUGGGUAUACCUCCUGUCUCAGAUCCGAAAGCAAUAAGGGAUUGUUUCUAGAAUCAGGUCCUUUCUCGAGGAAAAGUUUCUCUCGAAAGAAUUGAGUGGGAGGAUGGUGGAAACUUGAUGAGGUUAUUGAACCGUCUCUUCAACUAGUGUGUGGCAGGGCACAGGAAGUUGUUCCUGUGGCACCUACACCAAUUGAAGUGGAAGCUUAUGAUAUUGAUCAUGAAACUUCGGAUCAAGUCACUACCAAACCUCGUGGGAUGACAAGGAUACGUACUACUUCAGAGUGGUACGUAAUCCUGUCUUGAAGGUCAUGUUGCUAGACAACAAUGAACCUACGAGCUAUGGAGAAGCGAUGGUGGGCCCAAAUUCCGACAAAUGGUUAGAAGCCAUGAAAUCCGAGAUAGGAUCCAUGUAUAAAAACAAAGUAUAGACUUUGGAAGAACUACUUGAUGGUCAUAAGGCUGUUGAGUACAGAUGGAUUUUAAAGGAAGACGGACGAUGAUGGUAAAUAUCACCAUUAAGAAAGCUCGACUUGUCGUUAAGAUGUUUUCCGACAAGUUCAAGGAGUUGACUACGAUGGGAAUUUCUCACUCGUAGCGAUGCUAAGAGUCUGUUAGAAUUAUGUUAGCGAUCACUGCAUUAUUUAUGAAAUCUUGCAGAUAGGAUGUCAAAACAUUGUUUCCUCGACGAUUUUGAGGAAAGGUUGUAUGUGAUACAACCGGAAGGUUUUGUCAAUCUCGAAAGAUGCUAAUAAGUAUGCAAAGCUCCAGCAAUCCUUCUAAGGACUGGAGUGAGCAUCUCGGAGUUGGAAUGUAUGCUUUGAUGAUGAUCAAAGAUUUGGGGUUUGUACAAAGUUUUAUGAAAAACUUGUAUUUCCAAAGAAGUGAGUGGGAGCACUAUAGAAUUUCUGAUGAGUAUAUGUUGUUGACAUAUUGAUGAUCAGAAAUGAUGUAGAAUUUCUGGAAAGCAUAUAGGGUUAUUUUGAAAGUGUUUUUCAAUGGAAAGCCUGGAUUAAGCUACUUGAACAUUGAGCAUCAAGAUCUAUAAGGAUAGAUCAAAAUGCUUAAUAAUACUUUCAGAAUGAGCAUAUACCUUGACAUGAUCUUGAAGGUGUUCAAGAUGGACCAGUCAAAGAAGGAGUUCUUGCCUGAGUUGUAAGGUACGAAGUUAAGACUUAAAGCUCGACCUCGGCAGAAUAGAGAGAAAGGACGAAGGUCGUCCCCUAUGCUUAAGACGUAGGCUCUCCAGUAUGCUAUGCUGUGUGCCGCACCUGAAGUGUGCCUUGCCAUGAGUCAGUCAAGGGGUACAAGAGUGAUCCAAGAAUGGCUCACAGGACAGCGGUCAAAGUUAUCCUUAGUAACUAGUGGACUAAGGAAUUUCCUCGAUUAUGGAGGUGGUAAAAGAGUUCGUCGUAAAAGGUUACGAUGAUGCAAGCUUGACACCUAUCCGGAUAGCUCUGAGUAGAGAGACCGGAUACAUAUAAUGGAGCAAUAAUUUAGAAUAGCUCCAAGUAGAACAGUUGUUUGGAAUAGCUCCAAAUAGAGCGUGGUAGCUGCAUCUAGGAGAUGACAUAGAGAUUUGUAAAGCACACACGGAUCUGAAAGGUUCAGACCCGUUGACUAAAACCUCUCUCACAAGCAACAUGAUCAAACAUAAAACUCAUUGAGUGUUAAUCACAUAGUGAUGUGAACUAGACUACUUACUCUAGUAAACUCUUGGGUAUUAGUCACAUGGCGAUGUGACCUGUGAGUGUUAAUCACAUGGCAAUGUGAACUAGAUUAUUGACUCUAGUGCAAGUGGGAGACUGUUGGAAAUAUGCCCUAGAGGCAAUAAUAAAAGUAUUAUUAUUAUAUUUCCUUGUUCAUGAUAAUUGUCUUUUAUUCAUGCUAUAACUGUAUUAUCCGGAAAUCGUAAUACACGUGUGAAUACAUAGACCACAAUAUGUCCCUAGUGAGCCUCUAGUUGACUAGCUCGUUGUGAUCAACAGAUAGUCAUGGUUUCCUGGCUAUGGACAUUGGAUGUCGUUGAUAACAGAAUCACAUCAUUAGGAGAAUGAUGUGAUGGACAAGACCCAAUCCUAAGACUAGCACAUGAGAUCGUGUAGUUCAUUUGCUAGAGCUUUGCCAAUGUCAAGUAUCUCUUCCUUUGACCAUGAGAUCGUGUAACUCCUGGAUACCAUAGGAGUGCUUUGGGUGUAUCAAAUGUCACAACGUAACUGGGUGACUAUAAAGGUGCACUACAGGUAUCUCCGAAAGUAUCUAUUGUUUUAUGCGGAUCGAGACUGGGAUUUGUCACUCCGUGUAAGCGGAGAGGUAUCUCUGGGCCCACUCGGUAGGACAUCAUCAUUUGCGCAAUGUGACCAAGGAGUUGAUCACGGGAUGAUGUAUUACGGAACGAGUAAAGAGACUUGCCGGUAACGAGAUUGAACAAGGUAUUGGAUACCGAUGAUCGAAUCUCGGGCAAGUAAAAUACCGCUAAACAAAGGGAAUUGAAUACGGGAUUGAUUAAGUCCUUGACAUCGUGGUUCAUCCGAUGAGAUCAUCGUGGAACAUGUGGGAGCCAACAUGGGUAUCCAGAUCCCGCUGUUGGUUAUUGACCGGAGAACGUCUCGGUCAUGUCUGCAUGUCUCCCGAACCCGUAGGGUCUACACACUUAAGGUUCGAUGACGCUAGGGUUAUAAAGGAAGCUUGUAUGUGGUUACCGAAUGUUGUUCAGAGUCCCGGAUGAGAUCCCGGACGUCACGAGGAGUUCCGGAAUGGUCCGGAGGUAAAGAUUUAUAUAUGGGAAGUCCUGGUUUGGACACCGGAAGAGUUUCGGGGUUUAUCGGUAUUGUACCGGGACCACCGGGAGGGUCCCGGGGGUCCACCAAGUGGGGCCACCAACCCCGGAGGGCUGCAUGGGCCAUGUGUGGGAGGGAACCAGCCCCAGGUGGGCUUGUGCGCCCCCCACAAGGGGCCCAAGGCGCAGGGGAGAGUGGGAGGGGGCAAACCCUAGGGCAGAUGGGCCCUAAGGCCCAUGCUCCCUGCGCCUCCCCUCUCUCCCCCUCUGGCCGCCGCACCAGAUGCCAUCUGGAGGCUGGCCGCCGCCCGUUGGGGUGGGAAACCCUAAAGGGGGCGCAGCCCUCCCCUUCCCCUAUAUAUAUGAGGCCUAGGGGCUGCCCAUAAUACGCGAUUCGAUCUCUCUUGGCGCAGCCCUACCUCUCUCCCUACUCCUCCUCUCCCAUGGUGCUUGGCGAAGCCCUGCGGGAUUGCCACGCUCCUCCACCACCACCACGCCGUUGUGCUGCUGCUGGAUGGAGUCUUCCUCAACCUCUCCCUCUCUCCUUGCUGGAUCAAGGCGUGGGAGACGUCACCGGGCUGUACGUGUGUUGAACGCGGAGGUGCCGUCCGUUCGGCACUUGGUCAUCGGUGAUUUGAAUCACGACGAGUACGACUCCAUCAACCCCGUUCACUUGAACGCUUCCGCUUAGCGAUCUACAAGGGUAUGUAGAUGCACUCUCCUUUCUACUCGUUGCUGGUCUCUCCAUAGAUAGAUCUUGGUGAUACGUAGGAAAAUUUUUGAAUUUCUGCUACGUUCCCCAACAUACUCAUCACCUAAGCCUUGCAAGCAUUGUAACUAAUGAGUUAGUUAUAAUAUGAUGUGUUACAGAACGAGUAAAGAGACUUGCCGGUAACGAGAUUGAACUAGGUAUUGGAUACCGACGAUCAAAUCUCGGGCAAGUAACAUACCAAUGGCAAAGGGAACAAUGUAUGUUGUUAUGCGGUUUGACCGAUAAAGAUCUUCGUAGAAUAUGUAGGAACCAAUAUGGGCAUCCAGGUCCCGCUAUUGGUUAUUGACCGAGAAUGGUUCUAGGUCAUGUCUACAUAGUUCUCGAACCCGUAGGGUCCGCACGCUUAACGUUUCGAUGACAGUUUUAUUAUGAGUUUAUAAGUUUUGAUGUACCGAAGAUUGUUCGGAGUCCCGGAUGUGAUCACGGACAUGACGAGGAGUCUCGAAAUGGUCGAGACAUAAAGAUUGAUAUAUUGGACGACUAUAUUCGGACACCGGAAGUGUUCCGGGUGAUUUCUGAGAAAACCGGAGUGCCGGGGGGGUUACCGGAACCCCCCGGGAGAGUAUUGGGCCUUAUGGGCCUUAGGGGAAAGGAGAGAGGGGCGGCCAGCAUGGGCCGCGCGCCCCCUCCACCCUCUGGUCCGAAUUGGACUAGGAGAGGGGGUGGCGCCCCCCCCCCUCUUCCCUUCCCCCUCUCCCCCUUCCUUCCCCCUCCUAGUAGGAGUAGGAAAGGAGGAGUCCUACUCCUACUAGGAGGAAGAUUCCUCCUCCCUUGGCGCGCCCAAGGGGCCGGCCGGCCUCCCCCCUCCCUCCUUUAUAUACGGGGGCAGGGGGCACCCCAUAGAGACACAAGUUGAUCUACGGAUCGUUCCUUAGCCGUGUGCGGUGCCCCCCUCCACCAUAUUCCACCUCUGUCAUAUCGUCGCGGAGUUUAAGCGAAGCCCUGCGCCGGUAGAGCAUCAUCAUCAUCACCACGCCGUCGUGCUGACGGAACUUAUCCCCGAAGGAUAUUAAGGCCCCCUUUAAAUAGAGAACCGGACCAAAGCAUUAACACUUGGUGAAUGCAUGAACUCCUCAAACUACGGUCAUCACUGGUAAGUAUCCCGAUUAUUGUCACUUCGGGGUUAACGGAUCAUAACACAUAAUAGGUGACUAUAGACUUGCAAGAUAGGAUCAAGAACUCACAUAUAUUCAUGAAAACAUAAUAGGUUCAGAUCUGAAAUCAUGGCACUCGGGCCCUAGUGACAAGCAUUAAGCAUAGCAAAGUCAUAGCAACAUCAAUCUCAGAACAUAGUGGAUACUAGGGAUCAAACCCUAACAAAACUAACUUGAUUACAUGGUAAAUCUCAUCCAACCCAUCACCGUCCAACAAGCCUACAAUGGAAUUACUCACGCACGGUGGUGAGCAUCAUGAAAUUGGUGACGGAGGAUGGUUGAUGAUGACGAUGGCGACAGAUUCCCCUCUCCGGAGCCCCGAACGAACUCCGGAUCAGCCCUACCGAGAGGUUUUACAGCUUGGCGGUGGCUCCGUAUCGUAAAACGCGAUGAAUCCUUCUUCUCUUAUCUUUUUCUCCGCGAAAGAAAAUAUAUGGAGUUGGAGUUGAGGUCAGUGGACGUUUAGGGGGCCCACGAGGCAGGGGGCGCGCCCCCCACCCUCGUGACCAGGGUGUGGGCCCCCUGAUGCUAAUUCUUUCGCUAAUAUUUUUUAUUAAUUCUGAAAAGUUGCUCCGUAGAUUUGCAGGUCAUUCCGAGAACUUUUAUUUCUGCACAAAAAUAACACCAUGGCAGUUCUGCUGAAAACAACAUCAGUCCGGGUUAGUUCCAUUCAAAUCAUGCAAGUUAGAGUCAAAACAAGGGCAAAAGUGUUUGGAAAAGUAGAUACGACGGAGACGUAUCAACUCCCCCAAGCUUAAACCUUUGCUUGUCCUCAAGCAAUUCAGUUGAUAACUGAAAGUGAUAAAGAAAACUUUUACAAACUCUGUUUGCUCUUGUUGUUGUAAAUAUGUAAAGCGAGCAUCCAAGUUUUCAGCAAAGAUUAUGACUAACCACAUUCACAAUAACACUUAGGUCUCAUGUUUACUCAUAUCAAUGGCAUAAUCAACUAGCGAGCAAUAAUAAUAAAAAAUCGGAUGACAACACUUUCUUAAAACAAUCAUAAUAGGAUAUAAGAAGAUAGUAUCUCGCUAGCCCUUUCUAAGACCGCAAAACAUAAAUGCAGAGCACCUUUAAAGAUCAAGGACUGACUAAACAUUGUAAUUCAUGGUAAAAGAGAUCCAGUCAUAGUCAUACCCAAUAUAAACUAAUAGUAAUGCAUGCAAAUGACAGCGGUGCUCUCCAGCGGGUGCUUUUUAAUAAGAGGGUGAUGACUCAACAUAAAAGUAAAUAGAUAGGCCAUUUGCAGAGGGAAGCAGGGAUUUGUAGAGGUGCCAGAGCUCAAAUUUUGAAACAGAGAUAAUAUCAUUUUGAGCGGUAUACUUUUACUCUCAACAUAAAAACUAUGAGAUCUCGAUAUCUUCCAUGCUACACACAUUAUAGGCGGUUCCCAAACAGAAUGGUCAAGUUUUAUACUCCCCCUCCACCAACAAGCAUCAAUCCAUGGCUUGCCCGAAACAACAGGUGCCUCCAACUAAGAACAAUCCGAGGGAGUUUUGUUUAAUUAUUUUGAUUUGAUCUGAGCAUGGGACCGGGCAUCCCGGGGACCAACCAUUUUCUCGUGAUUGAGGAGCGGAGUCCACUCCUCUUGAGAAUAACCCGCCUAGCAUGGAAGAUACAGACAGCCCCACACUACUAGGAAAAGGGCUAUAGAUGGGAUGGGCACUAAUGGCGCACCAGUUAGGUGGUGCGCCACUACUAUAUACUAAUGGCACACCGUGUGGUGAUGCGCCAUUAGUGUGGAAGACACUAAUGGCGCACCAGACACACGGUGCGCCACUAGUAAUAAUUUGUUUUCCAUUUUUCCAUACAUACUAAUGGCGCAUCCGAGCGAAGUGCGCCAUUACUAGUUCUAACUAGUAAUGGCGCACCAGCCACAGAGUGCGCCAGUACUGUAUUCUUUUUUUAUUCUUUUUUUUGCAAAACUACUAAUGGCGCACCGUGUCACAGUGCGCCGUUACUAGUUUAAACUAGUAAUGGCGCAUUGUGACUCGGUGCACCAUUAGUAUAUUUAUUUAUUUAUUUACUUUUUUGCAAAACUACUAAUGGCGCACCACCUGCAGGUGCGCCAUUAGUAACCAGGGUUACUAAUGGCGCAUUUGCAGGUGGUGUGCCAUUAGUAACCUGGGACCCCAACAAGAUAUUUUGGACAGCCACACCUACCCACUCACUUUCCCCACUUCAUUCCCUCCACCUCCUUCUCCAAGCUUUCGGCUGCCUCCUCCUCCUCACCUCAUUUGCACCAUAGAUUCAUCAAAAUUAAGUGGUGAAAUUACCUUUUUUGAUAGGUAAGUAAGGGGAAAGCUAUCUUCAUGUUGUAGAUCUACUUUUUUUUUCUCCCUAGCUCGCUCCAACAACAUGCACAUGCACUUUUUGUGGCCUAGCUAGAUCUAUGUAUGUUUGUGGUGUUGCAUAUGUUUGUGGUGUUGCAUAUAUGUUUGUGUUUGUAGGUACCGGUAUUUGAAAUGCGAUAGUUGCCAAUAUUUUGCCAGAAUGUUGAUUCGUUUCCGUUUCGGCGAGAAUUUUGGCACUAUGCAUUCUUUUUGGUCCUAUUUUUAGGGAAGGUCAUGCCAAAUUUUUUCUUUGUUCUAAAAUAUCAUUUUGCUCUACCCCGCAGGCGACCAUGGUCCGCACGAUGACCGAAGGCAUCGUUAAUAGGUUUUUGAGCUCCGCGAAGGCCGUGAUACUUCAAAAGAACGAGACGGAGAUAAGAUGUUCAUGUCGAAGAUGCAAGCUGAAGAGCCUUAUUGAGGACCCGGAUUCCGGGCAGGUGCGGGACCACCUGCUCUUGCGUGGUUUCAUGGAUGGCUAUCGGUGGAAAGGUGAUGAAGAUGACUAUGAAGUCGUCCAUAGGGGCCGGGCAAGAAAUGAGGAAGGGCAACAAGAGAACCACCGCGGCGAGGGCGGGCGAGAAGACGAAGAAUCUCCAGGACAUGAUCCCGACGGUGAUGCUGUACACAGUCAUCAUGUAGAAGAUGUCGUACAUGAUGAUGAGGAAGAUCAAGACGAAGGGCAUGAUCAUGAAGAUGAAGAUGCCGGAGCAGACGACGAUGGAGGCUGGGUGCAGGACCCUCAUAUUCAAGAGCUGCUUCUCAAGCAGACGGAAAACACAAGAGCUGCCGCCCGAGAGAAAGCCAAGAUGGACCAACUGGAGAUAGACGCGGUUACUCCAUUGUAUGAAGGAUGCAGGCUCGAGGAUACCCGCCUGAAAGUAACGCUCAUGGCUCUAGAGAUGAAGGUAAAACACAAAAUGACCGACGCAUGCUUCGACGAGAACAUGUCAUUCUGGCACGAACGUCUUCCCAAGGGGAACAAGUGCCCGACCAGUUUCGAGGAGGCGAAGAAAAUUGUGUGUCCUCUGGAUUUACUGCACGUGAAAUACCAUGUGUGCAUGAACAAUUGCAUCAUUUAUCGGGACGAGCACGCGGGGUCUACCAUAUGUCUGGUGUGCGGCGUCACUUGAUACAAGAAGUGGAAGAAAGCUCCUCGAAAAUCGGUGUGGUACUUUCUGAUCACUCCUCGUCUGCAGCAGUAUUUCGUGGACCCUAAGGUAGCAAAGCUCCUGCGUUGGCACGCGGAUAGGGAGGAGAAGAAGCGGGAAGAUGACGGAAAUGAUCUGGAGAUAAAUAAAAAAGACAAGAUGCUGAGUCACCCUAAGAUGCGAGCCAGUGGCAAGCGUUGAACUUCGAAUACCCAGAAUUUGGGAAGGAUCCAAGGAACAUCGUGCUGGGCGCGAGCACCGAUGGAGUCAAUCCGUUUGGCAGCCAGAGAAGCACACAUAGCACCUGGCCUGUGUUUGUGUGGAUGUACAACCUUCCCCCCUGGUUGUGCAUGAAGAGGAAGUACAUUCACAUAAGUAUGCUAAUUGAAGGGCCAAAACAACCAGGGAACGACAUCAAUCUAUAUGUAGGGCUGCUGAAGGAGGAGCUAGACACGCUGUGGAAAAUGCCAACCAAUACAUGGGACGUUGCAGAGAAAGAAUAUUUCCCUAUCAGAGUCGCACUGCUCACGACGGUGCACGACUAUCUCGGUUACGGAUAUCUUGCGGGGCAGGUAGUCCAUGGAUUUUCUGGAUGCGUAAGGUGCAUGGAUGACACAACGUAUCACCAGCUAGAUAGAGAUCCCGAGUCUUCGAAAACUGUGUUCAUGGGACAUCGAAGGUGGCUUUGCGACAAUGACCCGUGGAGGAAACACAAGGAUCUGUUCAAUGGUGAAACCGAACCCCGAAAACGCCCGUGUACGAGGAGCGGCGAGGAAAUAGACGAGCUGUUGAAAAAUUGAAAGAUUGCCCACUGCCGGGAAAGAAGCAAAAGGCGCCAGAGCCGGGAAAGAAGCGAAAGGCGCCAGAGCCGCUGCUGAAGGUAUGGAAAACGAGGUCUGUUUUCUGGGACUUGUCGUACUGGAAGAUCCACCGUGUUCCUCACAGCCUUGAUGCCAUGCAUAUCACGAAGAACGUGUGCGUGAGUCUUCUUGGUACCCUAUUCAACAUGCCAGAGAGGACCAAAGAUGGGCCAAAAGCAAGGGCAGACUUGAAAUCAAUGGGCAUCAGGAAGGAGCUUCACGGUAAUGAUGAUGAUGAUGAUGAUGAUGAUGAUGAUGAUGAUGAUGAGGCGAAGCAGGACACAGAAAGUCGCCGCAAAGGCAAAAAGGCCAAGAAGACCGGAAAUGACUACCCUCCCGCGUGCUUCACUCUAAGUCAGGAGGAGAUCGAGCAGUUUUUCACCUGCCUCGCAGGAGUAAAACUUUCUUAUAGUUAUGCGGGGAAGAUAAGCAGAUACCUAGGCCCAGCGAAGUAGAAGUUCAGCGGGAUGAAGUCUCACAACUGUCACGUGCUGGUGACGCAGAUACUUCUAGUUGCAAUCUGUGGGAUCAUGGACGCGCACGUCCGUGAAACGCUAUUUGGCCUAUGCAACUUUUUCAACGUCAUCUCUCGGAAGUCGAUUGGCGUGAGGCAACUCAGAAGGCUACAGGAAGAUAUCGUGGUGAUACUAUGCGAGCUUGAGAUGUACUUCCCGCCCGCAUUCUUCGACGUUAUGGUGCAUCUGCUGGUCCAUAUCGUGGAGGAUAUCAUCCAACUCGGGCCGACGUUCCUGCACAACAUGAUGUCGUUCGAAAGGAUGAAUGGUGUCAUCAAAGGAUACGUUCGCAACAUGUCACGUCCAGAGGGAAGUAUAGCCAGGGGCUUUCUGACCAAAGAGUGCAUCUCCUACUGCACGAAUUAUCUAGGCAUCGAGAAACCCAUUGGUCUGCCCGUCAACAGGCACCUCGGCAGGCUCGCUGGAUGGGGUCACCGUGAGGGUCGCCGCGAAAUGCAUGUCGACUUCGAGGGUCGACUCGCUGACUUUGAAAGAGCAAACCUAGUCGCGCUACAACACAUAGACAUGGUCGAUCCUUGGGUGGUAGAGCACAAAACCUUUAUUGAGAAGACAUACAAUGACCGAGGCUAACAGAGGACGGACGGAGAUAUAAUCAAAGAGCACAACUCAUGUUUCACGCGUUGGUUCAAGUAGAAGCUUCUGUCGAACCCUUUACAUGAGGAUUCUUCUGCGGAAGAACAACUCAUAUUCGCCUUGUCACAGGGCGCCGAGCACAACCUGAUGACCUAUGAGGCAUACGAUAUCAACGGCUACACAUUCUACACCAGGAACAAGGACAUGAAGAGCGAUGGUUAUCAGAACUCCGGGGUAACGAUGGAAUCCUACACCGGUAACGACAAGGACAGAUACUACGGAAGGAUCGAGGAGAUCUGGGAGCUGAGCUACACUGGAGAGAAGGUCCCGAUGUUCCGUGUCAGAUGAGCCAAGAGUGUCCUAAAAGAAUACCGGUAUUUCACCACCAUGGUUAUACCCAAAGCCAAAUCCAAGACCGCGGGCGCAAACGCCACCGCGGAAAAUGAGCCAUGGGUACUGGCUUCCCAAGUGGAGCAAUGCUUCUUCAUUACCGACCCAUCAAAGCCCAGUCAUGUUGUCGUGAGGAGAGGCAAAAGGAAGAUCAUCGGAAUGGAUGUAGUAGCCAAUGAGCAAGACUUCGACAAGUACGGCGACCCGAAGAUCGAACAUGACGACGACGAUGAAGUAGCAGCACACACCACAAGAAGAAGCAGGACCACCCUACCUAAAGGACGACCGUUCCACAGAAGAACUCCAUUUGCGAAAAAGAAGGUCAAGAAGAUUGUGAACAGAUAGCUAGCUAAGAUCGAUUGUAUUUAAAUCGUAGUCUUCAUUUCUCGGGCACUUUUUGAUAUCAUGAAUAUUUUUAAAUUUCAUGGGCACUUUUUGAAUUCAUGAAUAUUUUUUCAAAUUUGAUAAUAUUUUUUCAUAUUCAAUAUGAAAAAAUAUUGAAUAAUCAUGAGGACACUCGAUCUCGAUCCCCUCCCUCUCGAUAGCUACCCCCCUCGCCAGGUCCCCCUCACCACCGAGCACCCCCCGCACCCUCCCCCGCUCCACCGCCGCCGCCGACCACCCGCACCCUCCCCCGCUCCACCGCCACCGCCGACACCCCNNNNNNNNNNNNNNNNNNNNNNNNNNNNNNNNNNNNNNNNNNNNNNNNNNNNNNNNNNNNNNNNNNNNNNNNNNNNNNNNNNNNNNNNNNNNNNNNNNNNNNNNNNNNNNNNNNNNNNNNNNNNNNNNNNNNNNNNNNNNNNNNNNNNNNNNNNNNNNNNNNNNNNNNNNNNNNNNNNNNNNNNNNNNNNNNNNNNNNNNNNNNNNNNNNNNNNNNNNNNNNNNNNNNNNNNNNNNNNNNNNNNNNNNNNNNNNNNNNNNNNNNNNNNNNNNNNNNNNNNNNNNNNNNNNNNNNNNNNNNNNNNAUAUUUUCAAUUAAAAAAAUUGAUGAUAUUUUCAAAAAAAUGAUGAUAUUUGAUGAUAUCUUCUGUUCUAGUCCUCAUGAAAAUAAAAAAAAAUUGAUAAAAAAACAAAUUAUUAGAUGCAACAAGAAAUAAUGAAAAAAAGUUACUAAUGGCGCACCAGAGGAGGGUGCGCCAUUGCUAUCAAAAAAACUACUAAUGGCUCACCAGUGGGUGGUGCGCCAUUGCAAUAGUGUCUAGCUGGAUACCCCUUCGCCCGAUCCCCCCUUCCCUCUCCCUCGCCAGAUCCCUCUCCCUCGAUCCACCGCUCCGCUCCUUCCCUCGUCCCUCCCUCCNNNNNNNNNNNNNNNNNNNNNNNNNNNNNNNNNNNNNNNNNNNNNNNNNNNNNNNNNNNNNNNNNNNNNNNNNNNNNNNNNNNNNNNNNNNNNNNNNNNNNNNNNNNNNNNNNNNNNNNNNNNNNNNNNNNNNNNNNNNNNNNNNNNNNNNNNNNNNNNNNNNNNNNNNNNNNNNNNNNNNNNNNNNNNNNNNNCCGCGCCGCCGCUGCCGCUGCCCCGACCCACUGCGCCGCAGCCGCCCACGCGCCCCCGCCGCCUCCCUCUCCACUUACUCCCCCUCGAGCGCCGCCUCCCCUCCGAGCGCCGCCUUCCUCACCUCCCUCGAAACCCUAGAAGCCCGCGACCUCCCCGCCGUCUAUCCCUGCCUCCCCCAAGCUCGCCUUCUCCGCCCUCCGUCGUCUAUGAUCCGGCCACCACCAAAUCUCUCUCGUCGGAGCUGCCCCUCGACAGCAGCUAGCCUCGUCGGACGCGCUCCUCAACGGCGGCGCAAGCCUCCCCGCGCGGCCUGGUUAGUCUCUGUCCCUCCCUCCCUCUCUCCCCCGCUCAUGCCCAUGCCCCCAUGGGGCGGCGACCUAGGGUUAGGAACAGGAGCUCGCCGCCGCCGCCCCGUCGUGGCGCUGCUGCUAAUUCUUGCGGCCGCCUUUCCCGCGCGCUCGUGCGUGGACACCGGGCCCCACGUGCUCGUGCCUUGCCGCCGCCACCGUCACGCGACUGCUGCUUCUUGUUGCCAGUCUCCAGCCUGAUGAAAAUAGUAGAUUCAGUUAAAACAACCCAGUGGGAAUUAAGAAUUCAAACAUAUAGCAAAGGCAGAUUUCUCGCGAACUCAACCAUCCAGUAUCCUAUGAAUCAGACAUUCGCGAACCCUAGUAGCAUCAUCAGACAUUCAGUAACUGAAUUUGGGUUGUUCUGUUCGUCAUGCAGUUCAUAUCUCCCCCGGAUCGCUGCCGAAGGGCCUGCACUCGCUGGAUCUGUCAUGGAACAAGAUCGCCAACGUCGAGGGGCUUCGGGAACUGACGAAUCUUCGCGUGCUCAACCUCAGCUACAACCGAAUUUCGUGCAUCAGCCACGGUAAGUCGCAGAUGGUUCUGCUGGUGUGGUAAUUGAUUUACUUGUUUGGUUUGGUAGCUGGAGCACUGUAUCAGUGGUGCUAAACUGCUCUUGUUAUCUGACUGGUUGGUGCGUUAUGAGCCACCGUGUUGUGUUAUGGCCUGCCUAAGAAUUGGUUAAGUAGUAAGUUGUUUAGGCUCGGCCAUUUCCACUCAUUGUAGAUAGAUAGAGUUACACUUUUGUUACAUUGUGUUAUCUUUAUGUAGAGUAGUAAUGCUCCACUUCCACAUAUUUUUAGUUAGUUAUCUUCCAGUAGUAUUUCAAAUUGAAGCCCUGAGCAUGCUCUGUCAUGAAAAUAGAGUUUUGUCUCUCAUGUUCUGAAUUUCCUCUUUUCGUCAAAUUUUGCUUCACAAUAGUAUCUCUGCGGCUGUUGUUGAUCAUCUUUCAAGUUUAUCUUUGUACUAGUAUUUGAGCUCUUUCCAUCAUCUACUGUCAUGUGGAACUCUUUUUACAGUUAAAAUGACCAUGAUUUACUGUGUCCAGUAGUUGGAUUUUUUAAGUCGGUUUACAGCUCUAGUACACUUCUCUUACACUUACUGAGGACUUGUAUUUCUGCUUUUUAGGUCGGCGUAAAUUUGGUAGUCUCUGAGUUUUGUUAAUCCUAUGUCGCUCUGUCAGCCUUUGUAAUUUGCACCUAUAUUAUGUAACACUACUUGAUGAUGUUAAAUUGUAACUCCCUUUCCUUAGAACUGUAAUUACUGUAGCAACAAAUCCAUUUUCAUCUAUAUGUAUAGCACACAAAAGGAAAUGACUAUUCUAUGUUUUUUGUGUUUAUUUUUUACAGUCCUCUAGUAAUUGAGCUACUGUUGUGUUGUUGUUCCUAUACUGUAAUUGUUUCAGCGCACACUACCAUGACUUAAUGUUUACAAUAGCUGUUUUCUUUGUAUCCACUAGUCAGCGUAUAUUUUUCUUCAGAGGUAACUGGUCAAAUGUUCAGUGUGUAUGUCUGAACUUGAAUGUUGCAAUGCUGUUUUCUUCAUAGGCUACUGUCAAAAACUUGAGCUAGUGUCUUGCAAAGAUGAUGAUCAUCUUGCUAGUUUGCUAGGUUUUGUCUCCGACCAUUGUGUCGUGAUGAAUUUGCAGGUACCCCGAGAGGCCCUUGAGUUUUCUGGAAUGUCGAUUAACUUCCGUUUAAGCAAAUUCGGGUACUCCAUAUGUCCUAUUUUCAGCAAAGGUCAUGCUGAAAUUUUCCGUGAAUUUUAGUAUGGCUUUGCUAAAAAUAGGACAUAUGGGGUACUUGCGACUAAUGCAUGGGCCGGGGUAUCUUAGUACUUAGUUAAGUAGGAUCAACUGCCCCGCCAUUCUUGCUGCAUUAAACCAUAGGUGGCAAUAGAGCCAAGUGAUUAGGCCCAACUUAGAAUUCUCCUUAGCAUCGAUAAACCCUAGAUGAUAAACCCAACAUAGGUGGCAAUAGAGCCAAGUGAUUAGUGCCAAGUGAUUAGGCCCAACCUAGGGUGCCUCGGCAUCAAUAAACCCUAAAUGAUGAAAACUUAACUUGGCUGCCCCGGAUGCCUCGGUGUCGAUGAAAACCUAAAUGAUGUAUGCUUAGACUUUUAGGGCGCCUCAGCGUCGACAAACCCUAAAUGAUAAAAGCUUAGCUUUAAGGAUGCCUCUGUGUCGACAAACCCUAAAUGAUGAGACCAUGAUCUUGUUCCUUGACAAUAACCAACUUUUUGACCAAACUGUUUUCCUAUUUAGAGCGAAACAUGGCCAACAACAAUGAGGCCGGCGGUUCGGGCGGCAAGCAAUUCUGGGAGCUGUCCCAGGAGAUGGAGGAACAACCUCACCGUUAUGGGGACGCCGCAGAAGACACCGAUCCUGACUACACAACCCCUAGUGGCAUCGGGGAUGACACCACUAAUGGUGCCGCCGAGGAUGCCACCACUGAUGAUGGCGGCGCACACAUAGAUGGCAGCCAACCGAAGAAGCAAAGGAAGGACCAGCACCCGAAUGCGCUCCGCACCCUCAAGGAGGAAUUUACUCAAGUGGACUCCGACGGGCAUCCAACGGAGCCCAAACAUAUAGUCAAGGGGUACUCGCUUCAGCUCGGGUGCAUUCUCCGGAGCACCGUCUCGAUCAACACCGAGAACCUUAGGCAUAAGGACCGAGGGAAUUUGUGCAACCUUCUCUUCACGAAGUUGCACGAACGAUACAAGUUCCCCGCCGAAUUUGAAAACACACGCCUCUCAGGGAAUAAAGUGAACAGUGCCGCCCUCACGAGGAUGAGCACGGCCCUGUCUACUUGGAGAAGCGCGGUGAAGAGAAUGAUUGAUAAAGGUGAUAGUUAUGAGAAGAUCAAGGAGAAAAAUCCUUCGAUCAGCGAAGAUGACUACAAGGAGUUCAAGAUCAAGUGCGAGAGCAGCGCAACCUCCGAAUCAAGUCAGUGGGGGAAAGAAAUGCGGGAGUUGAACUUAGGGGAACAAAAACUCGGUCCCGGCGGUUACAGAGUGGCGGAGCCUAUAUGGGACAAGGAGGACGCGGAGCGUGCCGAGCAAGGCCUACUGCCCCGCUUCGAGAAAUACAGCAGUGACAAGCAGGCCAGGAACUUUGUGAGGGCCCGGUACAAGGAGGACCCGAUAACAAAGGAGCUUACCACAGAUCCGAAGACCAGGGCGCUUGAGCUUGUUUUGGUAAGGAAUACACCCCCGCGUAAUUAGCUCCAUAUGGUUGCACUCUAAUUAAUCCCCAAUAUUUCUAAAUGGUUCACGUUCCUUCCGCAGGACACUGAAAGCAGUAGAGCGGGGUCGUCUCAGAGCUCCCCUUUCGACACCCCUUUAAAUAGGGCAUUGAACGUAAUGAAAAACAAGGAUAAGCUCAGUAAGCCAAUGUCAGCUGGUCGUGUGGCCGGCAAAGGCUUGUCCACAAAAUGGUCGUCAUACUAUACCGCUGGUGGGCGAAAGGAGAAAAAGAUCAGCUCGGAAAGCCAGUCGCGCGAGCUUGAAGCUCUCAAGGCACAAGUGGCGUGGAUUCUGGAGCUUGUCCAAGAGCAAGUGGAACAACAACUGGGAACGAAGCUCAACGUCAUGGUGCCUACGUUGAUUCAUGGGCUGACGACGUGGAUUAUGGGCGGCCAACAGGGGCCUCCCCCGGUUCCCAGCUUCACGGCCAGCAACUCGCACAGCGCGCAGGCGGCACCAUUGGUGUCUCCGGCGGCGCCAUUGGUGUCUCCAGCGGAGGCGGUAUUCGUGUCUCCGGCGCCGGCACGGGCAUUGGAGCUUAAUGCACCCGGGUGUACGCCGGCCGGCACCUCGCCAGCAAGCGGCCCCUCCGUCAGUUGCACGCCCGCCCUUGGCGGUGCCUCGACAUUAGCCGAGCUCGACGGCAUCAUGGUAACUAAGCCUCUCGGCCGAUGACUUCAUCUCCUUGCCUUUGACUGGGCAUCCCUGACGCCCUACAUGUUUCCGCAGGGCGCCGCCGACGUUCCUUGCACUCUUCUGCACUUCGUGGGCGGCGAGUUGGUCGAUGUCGCCAAGGGCAGAAUCAUUCAACCGGGCAACCCCAUGUUCCACGGUAAUCCGAUGCCACCCAAAGUGUAUAGGGUUGAAGUGGUUCGGGUGCUUCCAGGCUGCGACGAGCUGUUACCUCCGAUUCGACCCGCUGGGGCCGACGAAGAAGAUGAGAUGACCCGCAGCGCAUGCGUAAACUUGCCCCUGCUUUGGCCGAAUAGCCAGAUUCGUUUGGGGGCGGGGGACACCACCCCACAGACAAGACCGCCAGUCGUGCCAGCGCCAAGUCAUGGAAAGAACACCGCAACGCUACCGGACCUGUCGGACAUCCCUAUGCCGGACAUCCCUAUGGCACAGGAUCCGGACAACGACGACAACAACGACGGUACAUUUACCAAAGUCGAUAAGUACUUUGCCGAACAUGGGUACGCUGGCGAGUUCUGCGGGCCUCUUUCUCAAGAACCUAACCAAGACGAGCGUGAUCUAGCUAGUACGGCGGAGAAAUCCAAUUGCAAUAGGCGUCGUCUGGCGUUCAAUUCUCAGGAGACGCCUCCAGCUCCCGCCUUCACCGAGCCUCAGAUAGCUGAGGUGCGAAAUAUUAUCAGCCCCAACACGCUCAAGAAGGUGGUCUGUGAGCAGAACUUGGUCCCAUUACAAGAGAUCAAGAAGAAGGGAUGGAAACGAAAGACUAACAAGGGCACCGGUGCGAGCCAGCCGGCACCGAGUUCGAUCCGUGCUCAGGACGGGCCACCUUCACCUAAGGAUAUUUCGAGGAGGGUGCAUGUGCGGGUAGGGCGAUGCUACUGCCAAAUAUGCUCAAUGCUGCAACCGGUGCUAUGCGGAGUCUGCACGACAAUGUUCUUUCUUUGGAGAAGCGGCAUCUCAGAGAGAAUGAUGUGGCAUACCCGGUUUUCAUGGCCAAGGUGCCAGAGGGCAAGGGCUUUGUGGAUGGCAACAUCGGGGGUACGAUCGUCAUGCGGUUUGAUGACAUCUUUGCUAUGUUUAACCUUCAUCCGCUUCACCACACCUUCGUUCGGCUGUUUUCGCUGAGUAUGGAGAUGCGGAUCAUUAGAGACAAGACCCCGGACAUCGUGAUAGUCGACCCCUUCUACAUGCGUGCCAAGCACUUGAGUGGCGCUGGGGACCGCCAAGUUGCGAGUUCACACCUCGAAGGCGUCAUUCUGGCAAACCCAGAUAAGGAUAACUUCCUUGUGGCUUACUUUCCCGAGUAAGUCAUCCCUUAACCGCCCCGUAACAUAUGAUUUCUUAGAUUUCGAUCGUUCUUUUUUUUCUAACAUUCCGUGUUCUGUGCAGUGACACACAUUGCACACUCAUCCUCUUAAGCCCGAAAUAUUCGAUGGCCACGUAUUUCGACCCGAACCGUAACUCCAAGAUAGACUACACAAAUAUCAAGAAAGUUCUUGAUGAUGUUCUCCCCGGCUACGCCAAAUCUGGAGGCACCUUCACCAGGGCAGUUCGUAAGUACGACAAGCACACCUUCUCACACAAUACGAAGUUCUGCUGCGUCAAGCAGCCGCCUGGCGGUCAGAAGGAUGCCUACUACGCCAUCCAUCACAUGCGGGCAAUCGUAAGGGACCAUCAUCACCUUCUGCUACCAGAUAAUCUCAAAGAUUGGGUCGCGAGCUUGUCGGCAAUCCAGGACGCGGACCUCAGACAAGAAUUCUUUCGCAUCCAGUCGGAGUUUGCGGACAUCAUCCAUCAAGAUGUCCUUCAUACCUCGGGGCAGUUCUUCCUCAGAUAUCAACCGUCCAACAGUGAAAUAGAUGGAACGCUACAAAUGCAAGGUGACAACGACCGUGAUUUCAUGACCAUCACGACAGACGACGGCUUCAUCCACGCUCCUGUCCGAUGAGUCGAGUCGAAAAUAGUGAUGUGUAGUUUUGAAACAUUGAUUGGCUCAUGUUGUAAUUAAACUUUAAUGAAUUCGUAUGUCUCUUUGGUUUGGACAGUCGUUCAACUGAGAUAUAAUUGAUGCUAUUUAUUAGUAGGACCAUGAAUCGUGCUAUUAAUGUCUUGCUUUUCUCUUUCGAUCCUUUUGUUGCAUACUUACAUAUUGCUUAUGUAUUGUCUGUUGUUUUGUUUGUGCAUAGAGAUGCUGUCGUAUGUCGUGUACAAGGGUAAGGUUCCCGGAGUCUACGACGACUGGGAGGAGUGUUGGAGACAGGUUCACUGUUUCAGCGGUAAUAGUUACAAAGGGUACACCACUAGGGUGGAGGCCGAAUCUAGAUACGCCCGCUCUCUAGCGGGAGAGAGGAGGGAGCGUUGGAGGAACCGGAUGAAGACCAGUUUGAUCGCGAUGAUGCUCAUCGUGAUGACCGCAGCUCUCUUCUAUGUGAUGGUAGUUUAGAUGAUCGAUAUCGACUUGUAAUGUGAAGACAAACUCGAUACUCGUGGUCUUGAGACUUGUAAUGUUUUAUCUUUGUUCGGUCUUUUGAAUUCGGAGACUAAUAUGAUGAAUUGUAUUCGGAGACUAAUCUUCUAUUGUAUUCGAUGAAUCUGCUGUUGCUGUGUGCUGCUGUCUAUAUUUUGUCCAAUAAUAUAUUUUGUAACCUGUGCAAAAAUCAGAAAAGUAAAAACCCAAAUAUUCAUACUAAUGGCGCAUCACCUCAAGGUGCGCCAUUAGUAUGCCAAAGGAUACUAAUGGCGCAUCACCACAGAGUGCGCCAUUAGUAUGACAAAGCACAUGGUUACGUAUGCCCCCCGGGAGGCAUACUAAUGGCGCAUGGUGUUACAUACUAAUGGCGCACUGCUUGGUGCGCCAUUAGUAUACCAGAUACUAAUGGCGCACCAGUGGUGCGCCAUUAGUAAAAAAUACUAGUGGCGUGGUACUAAUGGUGCACCAGUAGUGUGCCAUUAGUAGGAAAAACCGGUGCGCCAUUAGUAGGCCUUUUCCUAGUAGUGCCAGUUGAUACAUGAGUUGUUCGAGCAUACAAAACAGAAUUUCAUUUGAUGGUUUGGAGUUUGGCACAUACAAAUUUACUUGGAACGGCAGGUAGAUACCGCAUAUAGGAAGGUAUGGUGGACUCAUAUGGAAUAACUUUGGGGUAUAUGGAGUUUGGAUGCACAAGCAGUAUUCCCGCGUAGUACAAGUGAAGGCUAGAAAAAGACUGGGAAGCGACCAACUGAGAGAGCGACAACAGUCAUGAACAUGCAUUAAAAUUAAUACACACUGAGUGCAAGCAUGAGUAGGAUAUAAUCCACCAUGAACAUAAAUAUCGUGAAGGCUAUGUUGAUUUUGUUUCAACUACAUGCGUGAACAUGUGCCAAGUCGAGUAACUCAAUUCAUUCAAAGGAUGAUACCACCCUAUCAUACCACAUCACAACCAUUUUAAUAGCAUGUUGGCACGCAAGGUAAACCAUUAUAAGCUCAUAGCUAAUUAAGAAUGGCAUAAGCAACUAUAAUAUCUAAUUGUCAUUGCAAACAUGUUUAUUCAUAAUAGGCUGAAUCAGGAAUGAUUAGCUAAUCAUAUUUACAAAAACAAGAAAGGUCGAGUUCAUACCAUCUCCUCUUAUCCCAAUCAUUUCAUCAUAUAUCAUCAUCAUUGCCUUUCACUUGCACGACCGAACAAUGUGGACAAUAAUAAUAGUGCACGUGCAUUGGACUAAGCUGGAAUCUCCAAGCAUUCAUUUCAAGAGAGAAGACAAAGUAAUAUGGGCUCUUGGUUAAAUAAACAAUCAUGCAUAUGAGAGCCACUUAGUCAUUUUCAUUAUGGUCUUCACCUCUCAACCCCCAAAGGAAAGGAAAAGAAAUAAAACUAUUUACACGGGAAAGCUCCCAACAAGCAAAAAGAAGAACAGGAAGUAUUUUUUUGAGUAUUUCUUUUAAUUAUUACUACUACAGGCAUGGAAAUUAAACUAACUAAUUUUUUUGGUUUUUCUUAAGGUUUAUCAAACACACAAGAAUAAAGAAGGAAAAUAAAAUAAACUAGCAUGGAUAGUACAAUGAAAGAGUAUGAGCACCGACACUAGAAUGAGUGUGUGAACAUGAAUGUAAAGUCGGUGAGGAAUACGUACUCCCCCAAGCUUAGGCUUUUGGCCUAAGUUGGUCUAUGGCCAUGGGUCAGAGCUACUCCCUCCGGUGUACUGAGUGGUAUCAUCUGGGUACCACUGGCUGGCAAACUCCUCCGGAUUCCAGUGAUAAAAGGAUGGUCAAUAAGGGUCAAGUUGUGGUUCCGGCUCAGGCUCUGGUGCUGAUGUCUGGCCUCGGUAAGCAUGAACGGCCUCAGGUAAGACGAGAAACGUGCCUGAAGAUAAAUCAAACAAAGAGGGUGCAGGCAGGAUAAUAGUUUCACUGUGUUUCUUAUGAAAUCUCAAAUUAUAUUUAAGCAUAUUCUCAUCAUUUGUAACAAUAAACUCAUGUGCUACCGUGCUCUUGUAAUCUAGAAAAGUAGGGGGCUGCAGUUUUUCUCUUUUCUCAAAAUGCCUAAUGGGUAUCCUGAAAUGUUUAGCGAGGCGUGAAGCAUAGAUACCUCCAAAAAUGGGGCCCUUUGUACGGUUCAAGCUUAAUCUUCUAUCAAUAAUAGCACCCAUAUUAAAAGAGUUAUCUUGAAAUAAAGCAUGGAACAAAAUGAUAAUAUCAGGAACACUUAGGUUUCCACAGUUUCCGCGACCAAUUAAGCAUCGACUAGCAAAUAUUGCAAAGUAGCGUAAAAUAGGAAAAUGUAUGGUAGUUAUUCUUGCAUCGGAAACCUUCCUCAUUUCCCCUACAGUGAUAGUGUCAAUAAAUCCUUCCACAUCUUUAUGAUGUGGUUCCUCUAAGCUGCCCCCGAAGGGUAUCUUGCAAACUGUGCAAAUUUCAUAUAGUGACAUCGCCCUAUCAACAUCAUAUAAUUUAAACUCAACUGAAGGAGGUGAUUUCUUAGGAUAAAAGUCAAAAUUUUGCAUGAAAGUAUUGGUGAGUAAGAGAUACUGUUCAAGCUGGUUGUGGAGGAAGUUGGUGAGGCCCGCAUUAUCAACCAAAGAAUAGAAAUCAUCAUAUAUCCCAGCUGCUCUCAAGAAAUCAUCACAAGGCCAUUCACACGGCCAUACUUCCACCACACGAGGAAGAUUAUACUUGGGCUUUUCAUUAUCCUUAGCUUGUUUAUCCUUAGAGCCUUGGCUAGAAGAGCCCCUCAAGAAGAAUCUCUUCAUCUUUUUCUGAAAAUAUAUGAAACUUUUAGUGACUCGAAAUAAAAGUGAGACAAACUCAAUGAAAUUGAUAGCAACUACUCCCACAAGUGCCUAGAGCCUCUAUCGUGCAUUAGAAUUACUUGGGACCUCAUGAAUUUAACAUGCAAGCUCAAGAACAGGGUCACCUAAGCAGCAAGAAUUUGCAAUGCAUAAAGCACUAGAACAAAAACUAAUUGGAUCAUUGGAGGAGUCACAUACCAAAGAACAAUCUCCCAAAGCAGUUUUGUGAAUGGAGCUUUGAGCAAGGAGAUCGAAAAUGGCAGCAAAAUAAGCUAGAACUCAUGCUUGAGCUGGAUAGUGAUUUUUUUGGGAGGAAGGAGUGUGUGGGUGCAGGAAUAAGUGGAGGGGGCCACCAUGGGCCCAGGAGGCAGGGGGCGUGCCCUGGACCCUCGUGGCCAGGUGCUUGCUCCCCCUACGGUGUUCUCAGUGCCAGAUAUUCUUAAAUAUUCUAGAAAAAAUCAUAUUAAAUUGGCAUGGCAUUUGGAGAACUUUUAUCUUCGGGAUAUUUUUUUAUUGCAUAGAUAAUUCAGAAAAUAGACAAAAUAUACUAUUUCUACUUUAUUUAUUCCAAGUAGCAGAAAGUAAAAGAAGGGAACAGAGAGUUGUGCCCUCUAACUUCAUCCAUCUCAUGCUCAUCAAAAGGAAUCCACUAACAAGGUUGAUCAAGUCUUGUUAACAAACUCAUUCCGAAUCGCAUGAAACCGGAGAAAUUUCGAAAUGACACUAGGUUACCUCAACGGGGAUAUGAACAUCCCCAAUAAUAAGAAUAUCAUACUUUUUCUUUGCAGUAGGAAGAGGAAAUUCAAAACCUCCAAUAAUAAUUGAUGGGAUUCUUCCAAUAGAAUUUAUACUGUGAACUUGUGGUUGUUUCCUCGGGAAGUGUACCGUAUGCUCAUUACCAUUAACAUGAAAGGUGACAUGGCCUUUUUUGCAGUCAAUAACAGCACCUGCAGUAUUUGCAAAGGGUCUACCAAGGAUAAUCGACAUACUGUCGUCCUCAGGAAUAUCAAGAAUGACAAAGUUUGUUAAGAUAGUAACAUUCGCAACAACAACAGGCACGUCCUUGCAAAUACCGACAGGUAUAGCAGUUGAUUUAUCGUCCAUUUGCAAAGAUUUCUCAGUAGGUGUCAACUUAUUUAAUUCAAGUCUACGGUAUAAGGAAAUAGGCAUAACACUAACACCGUCUCCUAAAUCACAUAAAGCAGUUUUAACAUAAUUUCUUUUAAUGGAGCAUGGUAUAGUGGGUACUCCGGGAUCACCAAGUUUCUUAGGUAUCCCACCGUUAAAGGUAUAGUUGGCCAGCAUGGUGGAGACUCGGAUUUAGGUAUUUUUCUUUUAUUUGUAAUGAUAUCUUUCAUGUAUUUAGCAUAAGUGUUCGUCUUAAGUAUAUCGGUUAAGCGCAUAUGUAAGAAAAUAGGUCUAAUCAUUUCAGCAAAGUGCUCAAAGUCCUCAUCAUCCUUUUUCUUGGAUGGCUUAGGAGGAAAAGGCAUGGGUUUCUGAACCCAUGGUUCUCUUUCCCUACCAUGCUUCCUAGCAACAAAGUCUCUCUUAUCAUAAUGUUGAUUCCUUGAUUGUGGGUUAUCAAGAUCAACAGCAGGUUCAAUUUCUAUAUCGUUGUUGUUGCUAGGUUGAGCAUCUUCAUGAACAUCAUUAUUAGCAUUAUCAUCAGGUUCAUGUUCAUCUCCAAAUUGUGUUUCAACAUCAGAAGAAAUAUCAUUAGGAUUCUCAGGUGUUUCUACAAUAGGUUCACUAGAAGCAUGCAAAGUCCUAUCAUUUUUCUUUUUUCUUCUUUUUAGAAGGACUAGGAGCAUCUAAAUUAUUUCUCUGAGAAUCUUGCUCAAUUCUCUUAGGGUGACCUUCAGGAUACAAAGGUUCCCGAGUCAUUUUAGCAGUUCUAGUAGCCACUCUAACAGCAAAGUCAUGUUUAUUAUUUAGUUCAUCAAGCAAUUCAUUCUGAGCCUUAAGUACUUAUUCUGCUUGAGUAUUGACCAUAGAAACAUGUUUACUAGUGAGUUUAAGUUCACUCUUAACUCUAGACAUAUAAUCACUCAAGCGUCUAAUCAUAUAAGAAUUAUUUUUAAAUUUUCUACUAACAUAACCAUUGAAAUUUGCUUGUUUAUCCAUAAAACCAUCAAAUUCAUCUAGUCAUUGGCUAGCAAACUUAGUAGACGGGAUUUCAACUUUAUCAUAUCUAUAAAGAGAGUUUACCUGCACUACCUGUGUUGGGUUAUCAUGACCUUGUAUUUCUUUAGGUGGUAUAUUGAGGCCAUGAAUUUCUUCUAUAGGAGGUAAAUUUUUAACAUCUUCAGCUUUAAUACCUUUCUCUUUCAUAGAUUUCUUUGCCUCUUGCAUAUCUUCAGGACUGAGAAAUAGAACACCUCUUUUCUUCGGAGUUGGCUUAGGAAUUGGUUCAGGAAGUGUACAAUUAUUUUCAUUUGCCAACAUAUUAUUCAAUAGCAAUUCAGCUUGGUCGACUGUCAUUUUCCCUGAAAACACAACCAGCACAACUAUCUAGGUGGUCCUUGGAAGCAUCGGUUAGUCCAUUGUAAAAGAUAUCAAGUAUUUCAUUUUUCUUAAGAGGAUGAUCAGGCAAAGCAUUAAGUAAUCGGAGAAGCCUCCCCCAAGCUUGUGGGAGACUCUCUUCUUUGGUUUGCACAAAAUUGUAUAUUUCCCUUAAGGCAGCUUGUUUCUUAUGGGCGGGGAAAUAUUUAGCAGAGAAGUAGUGAAUCAUAUCCUGGGGACUACACACACAACCAGGAUCAAGAGAAUUAAACCAUGUCUUAGAAUCACCCUUUAAUGAGAAAGGAAAUAUUUUAAGGAUAUAAUAAUGGCGAGAUUUCUCAUCAUUAGUAACAGGGUGGCUAUAUCAUUUAACUUAGUAAGAUGUGCCACUACAGUUUCAGAUUCAGUGCCAUAAAAAGGAUCUGAUUCAAUCAAAGUAAUUAUCUCAGGAUCAACAGAGAAUUCAUAAUCCUUACCAGUAACAAAGAUAGGUGAGGUAGCAAAAGCAGGGUCAUGUUCCAUUCUAGCAUUCAGAGUUUUUUGUUUCAGCUUAGCUAAUAAUUUCUUAAGAACUGAUCUAUCAUUGCAAGCAAGAAAAUCUAUAGCAGUUUCUUCAUCCAUAACAUAACCCUCAGGAACAACAAGCAAUUCAUAUUUAGGGGGAGAACCUUCAUCAUCACUAUCAUCAAUAUUAUCAGUUUCAAUAAUUUCAUUCUCCCUAGCCCUAGCAAGUUGUUCAUCAAGAAAUUCACCUAAUGGCACAGUAGUAUCAAGCAUAGAAGUAGUUUCAUCACAAGUAUCAUUCAUAGAAGAAGUGGCAUCAUCAAUAACAUGCGACAUAUCAGAAUUAAUAGCAGAAGCAGGUUUAGGUGUCGCAAGUUUACUCAUAAAGGAAGGAGAAUCAAGUGCAGAGCUAGAUGGCAGUUCCUUACCUCCCCUCGUAGUUGAGGGAUAAAUCUUAGUUCUUUGAUCUUUCAAGUUCUUCAUAGUGAUCAGCAGAUAUAAAUCCCAAGUGACUCAAAGAAUAGAGCUAUGCUCCCCGGCAACGGUGCCAGAAAAUAGUCUUGAUAACCCGCAAGUAUAGGGGAUUGCAAUAGUUUUCGAGGGUAGAGUAUUCAACCCAAAUUUAUUGAUUCGACACAAGGGGAGCCAAAGAAUAUUCUCAAGUAUUAGCAGUUGAGUUGUAAAUUCAACCACACUUGGAUAACUUAGUAUCUGCAGCAAGGUGUUCAGUAGCAAAGUAGUAUGGAAGUAACAGUAAUAGUGGCAAAAGUAAUAGUAGCAGUUUUGUAGUAAUUGUAACAAUGGCAACGGCAAGGUAACUAAGCAAAGAGCAAUAUGUGAAAAGCUCGUAGGCAUUGGAUAGGUGAUGGAUAAUUAUGUCGGAUGUGAUUCCUCGUGUAAUAGUUAUAACAUAGGGUGACACAGAACUAGCUCCAGUUCAUCAAUGUAAUGUAGGCAUGUAUUCUGAAUAUAGUCAUACGUGCUUAUGGAAAAGAACUUGCAUGGCAUCUUUUGUCCUACCCUCCCAUGGUAGUUGGGUCCUAAUGGAAACUAAGGGAUAUUAAGGCCUCCUUUUAAUAGAGAACAGGACCAAAGCAUUAACACUUAGUGAAUACAUGAACUCCUCAAACUACGAUCAUCACCGGUAAGUAUCCCGAUUAUUGUCACUUCGGGGUUAACUGAUCAUAACACAUAAUAGGUGACUAUAGACUUGCAAGAUAGGAUCAAGAACUCACAUAUAUUCAUGAAAACAUAAUAGGUUCAGAUCUGAAAUCAUGGCACUCGGGCCCUAGUGACAAGCAUUAAGCAUAGCAAAGUCAUAGCAACAUCAAUCUCAGAGCAUAGUGGAUACUAGGGAUCAAAUCCUAACAAAACUAAUUUGAUUACAUGGUAAAUCUCAUCCAACCCAUCACCGUCCAGCAAGCCUACGAUGGAAUUACUCAUGCACGACGGUGAGCAUCAUGAAAUUGGUGUUGGAGGAUUGUUGAUGAUGACGACGGCGACGGAUUCCCCUCUCCGGAGCCCCAAACGGACUCCAGAUCAGCCAUCCCGAGAGGUUUUAGGGCUUGGCGGCGGCUCCGUAUCGUAAAAUGUGAUGAAUCCUUUUUCUCUUAUUUUUUUCUCCGUGAAAGCAAAUAUAUGGAGUUGGAGUUGAGGUCGAUGGACGUUCAGGGGGCCCACGAGGUAGGAGGCGCGCCCUAGGGGAGGGGGCACACCCCUCACCCUCGUGACCAGGGUGUGGGCCCCCUGACGCUAAUUCUUUCGCCAGUAUUUUUAUUAAUACUGAAAAGUUGCUCCGUGGAUUUGCAGGUCAUUCCGAGAACUUUUAUUUCUGCACAUAAAUAACACCAUGGCAGUUUUGCUGAAAACAGCGUCAGUCAGGGUUAGUUCCAUUCAAAUCUUGCAAGUUAGAGUCCAAAACAAGGGCAAAAGUUUUUCGAAAAGUAGAUACGACGGAGACGUAUCAAACCCCUGUCCAAGAUUCUGUAGGAAAAUCCAAAACUUACGGAAGAGGAGUUCCAAAAGUUCAAGGACACUUGCGCUACCGAGGCAUCCAAGGCUAAGGCUGCGAAAUUCAAGAGCCUUCAGCAAAGGAACACGGGGAAGCAUCGCCUCGGAAGCCGUGACUACCUCGGUAAAAGGCCCAUAUUGGAUAAGGAGGACGCAAAACGUGAAGCCGCAGGUAUCCUAGACCCCUUCGCGAAGUUCACCAACCCCUUGGAGCGUGACUUCAUCAGGUCCCGCUACAAGUGGGACAAGUAAUAGAAGGUUUUUUACACGGACCUGAUCACGAGGAGAUUGAUUAGACUACUGGUAACUAUUCUUUUUCCACCUUACAUUUAUCUCUAGAUCUAGUCGACUACACAUUCCUAAACGGUUCACAUUCCUUCUGCGGGAGAAGCAACACUAGCUUGCAGCCAAAAGCCCUACUUCUCCGAUGAGGCCCAAGUGGGACACCCCUCUCAACCGGGCCUUGAAUGAACUUAAGGGACUCCCUUUGGGCCAGCGGCCGCAAUAUGGUCGUGUGCACAGCGCUAGAGACAGCGCCAUGUGGAAGGUGUUUUACAACGAGGGCCCAGAGGCCAAGAAGCAGAAAAAGAAUUUUAGUCAGGCGGACAUCAACGAGUAUGUGAAGCUUGCGGUCGAGAAAAAACCAGCUGAGGAUGCAAAAAAAUAGCUGAGGAGAAAAUGAGUUGUUACAGCAGGCAGUCAAUGCAGCUGUAACUGCCUAUAGAAAUGAUUUCGCUACUAACUUGGUUCCAGCUAUCAUCAACUGGAUGAAGAAAAAUCCAGACAAGACGGUACAUGAUUUCCCGUUGCCCAGUUUCAUCGCGAGCAAGUCCGUGAACAACAACACCACCGCACCAUCACUUGCUCAUGCAACCGGGCCUCCUCUCGCACUCGCUCCUGCUCAUAGCAGCCCGUCCUCAGUCUCUGGCGCGCUAGGUGAGCCUUCGUCUUUGGCUAAGCUCGACGCCCUCACGGUAAUUACAUGUCGGACCUCUCUCUCUCUCUCUCCAUAUAUAUAUAUAUAUAUAUAUAUAUAGAGAGAGAGAGAGAGAGAGAAUAUUCCAUUUUCGUUGCCUUUCGGAUGUUUUACGCCACAGACAUGUGUUUGCAGGCCGAUGAAACCCCGUGCACCAUACUCUACUUGAUCAAAGGCGAGAAGGUCGAUGUGGGAAAGGGGGUGAUAAAAAACCCCUUGCAACCCACGUUCCACAACCAGCCGAUGCCCGCUGGGCACUUCAGGGUUAACUUGUCCAGUGUGAAAUUGGGGCACGAGGAUUUGCCUCCUCCAGUACGGCAUGUGGGAGAGGACGACAAGACCCCACCGCAGAUUGGAAGCUGCAAGGGUUGGGUGCUUCUAUGGCCAAAGAAUCUUCUGCGUCUGGAGACCACCACUCCACCUACGCAUUUACCAGCGCCUGUAGUGCCGGGUGAGAGCGGCAGACGACAUGAUGAAGGGGGUGCAAUAGUACUGGCUGAUGUAAUCGGUCCUAGAGAACGGAGAAUGGAUUAUGAGACAGAGGACCCAAUGGCUUUCCUCAAUCCAAAAGAAUAUGAGGGUGACUUAGAUAUGAUGAGUCAACCAUAUGACGAAUUGGGCUAUCAUCAUGCUAAUGAGGAUAUGGAUGAUCUUCCCGGGCAGGAACGUCCUAGCAGGGAUUGCAAGAAGUCUCUCUUCAUGAAAUCCUCACAGGACACGCCUGAAGAUGCCACCUCAACAGAGGCUCAACUAGCCAGGGGUCAUACAGUUCUUAGCCCGGCAACACUAGGGCAGGGGUUAAGGAAGGGUUUGGAAGGUAUGCCCAAUAAAAAGGAGAGGAAGAGACCGGGGAAGAUAGCUCCCUCCAAACAAGCCAGAGCACAUAGCAGUCAGACGAUGGAUUCUGAAGAGCAUGACCUGUGAAAGGUGCGGCCAUGUUCCAUCUCACGGGCGAGCUGAUGCUACCGCCGAAACCGCUGGAGGCACUAUCAGGGGAUCUUAGGAGACUGCACAACCAUGUUUUGUCGACUGAGAAAAGACUAUUAGCCUCGAAGGAUCCAGGAUAUCCGACAUAUGAGGCUCGUGUACUUGAGGGUAAGUGCUACAUCGACACAUGGCCCGCGGAGGUGUUCUUCCUGUGGUUUGACCAUAUCUUUGAGAUGCUUCUGACAAGGCGACUCGAUUUUACAUCUGUCUAUUGCAUCUGUCUCUCAUACAAUGUCUGUACAUUCAACUAUGUUUCCUGUUUAUCAGCCAUUUGAAUGGGAGCGAGUGAUGCCAGUAUCUAGCAGACUAAAAACACGGUCUUCAAAUAAAACAAUGCUACCUCUUGGUGGAGAUAGCACCCCGGUUGUACAUGCACAAGAACCAGCCCUACCACACAUAACCCAAACUCUCGCAGAUUGUACCCCUACUGCGAUGGACAGAGAACCAGCUUCACCCAAUCUAACCCCAACCCCAGCUGAUAGUAACCCAGUUCCUGUUGACACAGCACCAUCUCCACCACAGAGCUCCCAAACAAGAGCAGUUAGUAAGGCAGCUCCAGUGCCCAAAGGGCCAGUACUAUCACGGCGAACCCCAACUCCACCAAUUAGUACGCCUAUUCCUGUGGAGGAAGCACAACCAGCUAGUCGUACUUUAGCAUCUAUCGCAUUUGAUGUUGUUAAAUCGUAUGUGCGUAUCUUCCCAUCUUGGAAAUAUUAUACUGAAGAUGAAGGAAAAUGCCAGUUGCAGGUGUUUGUCCAGGAGUUAUGUGUAAGUAAUGUUAUUCAUGGCAAUUACUUUGCUUCGUUCCAUACAUCCUACCUCCAUGAUGGUUAUAAUACAGCAAAUUUUCUCAUUUUUCUCUAUAGAGAAGGACCGAUUUGGAAACUCAGGAUGAGGUAACCUGUGCUAAUACCUCUGCUAUCUUCAAGAAUGCUUGGUGGCAGUAUCGGAAUUACCUGAAGAAAACGUACUUCACCGGCAAAGAAACUCAUCAAAUUCCCUUACGUUCUCCUCGGACACAUUUACUGGAUGAUGACUGGGAACGCCUUGUUUUGUACUGGUCCCGAACCAAGAAUGUGGUAAGGUCUAUGAGCUCAUUUUCUAUUUUUAAGUAUUAUAUUCUUGCGUCUUGCUGUAGUCUGUUCAUGUAGAACAAGUGCCUAAACCUGAAGAACAAUUGUUCUAAUUUAAGAUUCCAUUGCUAUCAUAGUUUAAAAAAGCGCUAGGCGUUAAUUGUGCAUUUUUCCACCGCCUUGCGCUUUACUGACCAAAGCGCAUGCUUAUGCGCAGUUAUGCACAGAUUAAGCGUAGUUAUGCGCAAUCCAUUUUGCCAACGCCUAGAGCCUAGGCGCGGUUAAGCGCUCGCUUAGGCGCGCCUUUUUUAACUAUGAUUGCUUUGCUCUUGUAUCGCUGUAUUUACUCAUACAAACUUAUUUUUAAAUUGAAGGAUCCAAUCGAAACUCCAAUGGCACAACAGGUAUGUUCACACAUGUUUCUUUAACAGGUUUGCUCUUAUCAAUAGCUCUUUUGAUUUCAAUUUCAAUUGUGUAUACAGUUGACUUUCAUAUCAUGCACAUUACUAGCAUCACAACAGAGCCAAUAGUGUUGUUGUACAUGUAGACCCAUGGUACCCAUCUGAAAUCUUGUUGUGUCGUGUAGUUUCCCAUGCUUUGUAUUCUUUCACUGCUGCUUUGUCUUGAACUGAUAUGAUUUGAACCAUGUCUCUAUUUUGAUUUGGCAAGACAAUGCAGUGACCAUAGGACAUAGAUAUAUGUUUGUUUGAUGCUUUUAUUAUGUACUAGUACUUGGCAAUAGAAGACUUGGUAGUUUAAUCCUGUCCACCUUACUAAUGAACUGAUUCACUGAAAUGAGUUUCAUAUACUAGUACAUGCCAAACUUGUUAUGUGUCUGCUUGUUUCUUCUUUUAGAAUGCUGACAGAAUAUUGGGGAAGAAUGCCUUAUUAAGCAAUGGUAAAGGAAGUAAUGCAGAUAAGGUUCAGGAUAGUGACACAUCCUUGUUGGUCUCUAACAAAGCUGAUAAAACAGCUAAGGAAGACUAUCUUGAAGACAGCGAGACAAUCCUAAAGUCCUAUCUUGGUUUAGUGUUCGAGUUACUAGCCACUACCUCUUGCACAAGCUAUUCAAACUCACUGUCUGAAUCGGUUCGGUUUCUUGAGUCUCAACUACAAGCUGAAAGACAUCAAUCAGCUGUGUUGCGACAAGAAGCGGAUGGACUGCUGAAGUCCCUGGAGCAUUCAGAUGCAUACUUUCUGGUGCAACAACAAGCGUUGGAGGAUUUUAGCGCCAAACAGGACAAAGCUAAUCAGCUUGCUAAGCUUAUUGCCAGCAUGGUGGAUACCCAGGAUAACAUUUCUUCAGCUCUUCUGAAGUUGUUUCAGUUAUGCUCUUGUUUUGCUGUCGCGUUUAUUUGCUUUGGUGGCCAAUUUUGACGGCCAGUGUAUGUAAUGAGCUGCUUGUUCCCUAUAUUUGCACUAGUGGCGAACUUUGAUGCCCAGUGGAUGUAAUAUGUGUAAUAGCGGUAAUAGGCUAGCGUUAAUUGCUUGCUUAUUUAUUUCCUUAUUGUCUUGUUUAGUUGUUUGCUUGUAGUCACUGCAGUUCUUUUUCUAUGUUUUUCUAGUGGCCACAAUAGCCUAUUUUUGGUAACUAGGCCAAAAUAAUCAUGGCAACACACGGACUGUUGUAACCAUGGGCCUCCUGCAGGCCGUAUGAUCCAUCGGCCUUCUUCCAGCCGUAGGAUCCAUUGGCCUUCUAUACAGGGCGUAGGAUCCAUCGGCCUUCUAUGCGGGACUUAGGGUCCAUGGGCCUUUUACGGGCAAUAGGGUCCAUGGGCCUUCUACGAGCCGCACGAUCCAUGGGCCUUCUACGGGCCGUACUAUCCAUGGGCCUCAUAUGGGCCGUAGGAUCCAUGGGCCUUCUACGGGGCGUAUCAUCAUUUCGCCAAUCAUGGGUCGUACUAUUCGUGGACCAUAACGGGCCGUUAAUAAGCCGUAUUUGAUAACUCUAUGAAAACAGCCCAACGGGUUUUUUUGACAUGAAAACGGCCCAACGUAUUAACCGUCCGCAAACGGGCCCACUGUAACGACGGAUUGAAUUUGGCCCACAAGCAGAAAAUGACAGUAACGGGUCGUAUGUAACUGAAUGCUGCAAAUGAGGCCAAGAAUCAAUUGGCACUGAGAAGGCCGAAAGAUAACUUGGGCUGGAAACGGCCCAAUGGAAUAAUGGACCGUUAAUGGGUAUAAAGUGAUACACUGUUCAUUACGGGCGAGUUUCACCACGGGCCGUUAAUGGGCCAAGAUUUACAAAGGGCCUCAUAUGGGCCGAAAGAAGUCAUGGGCCACACAUGGGCCGGAAGUUAAAACGGGCUAGAAUCAUAUUGGACGGCCCAGAUGUUGCUACUAGGCCUAAUUCGGAUAGGGCGUAACGGGCCCUGGGUUAGCGGGCUGUAAAUGGGCUAUAUGUGAACAGGCCGUUAACAGGCUUUCCAUGGGCCGGCCCGCCACCUUUUGACCAAGUCAAACGGGCCGGCCUUUUCACAGGAAUGGGCCUCUGUUAGGUCAUGCCACGUGUCGUCAUAUCAUAGGCGCCUUCGGUCCAAUGAGCGGAUGACAUCUGUCCCAACAGUGAGCCGACACGUGUUUCCUCCAGCCAAUGAUGAUUUUACACGUGGAAAAUCCCCAUUGGUCGGGGCUGUUAACGGGUUAUCGGAUCCAAAACCUGAUCCGAUAGCUUAACGGCGUUCCAUUAUGGUGGAUGCCACGUGUCGGUCAUCCUUGCCGAAAGCACUUCUGUGACGCGCGAUUUAUCGUCAUGGAAGUGGACACUUCCGUGAUGAUAAUUUUGGUAAUGUCAUGGAACACUUCUACGACAACACAUGUAUGACUAUCUUGAUUUUGUCAUAAAUUUGUCAUGGAUGUACAUGCAUGAUAGAAAACGCGACCUAUUGUGACAAACACGUAUCAUCACGGAAGUGUUUUUUUGUAGUGUAUAGCGCAAUGCACCGCAUACCGGGCACGCGUUCAAAUCCUCGUACUAACUGUGGUAGAGGAUGCAGUCAUUAGGGCAUGCAUGUAUCUUCUAUACCUCUAAUCCUAGAGGGCAGAUAGCCUUCUUUGCUUCAUACGUACUCUCAUACAAUUCAUUGUCCUUUUGAAGCAUCUUCUUUAACAUUAUCAACAACUUUCCAAAUCCCUUGUCAGAUACACCAUUCUCUGCCUUCUAUUGCAGCAGUUCUAGUGUGGUGCCCAGCCUUUUCUUGUCAGCUUCGCAAUUUAGGUACAACAAUUUCUUAUGAUCCUCUAACAUGCGCUGCAACGUGUACUCCUUUUCACUUGCGCAGUUUCUCUUUGCAUCGGCAAUGGCCCAACCUAGAUCAUCAGCAGGCUCUUCUGAUGCCUCUUCUUCAGCUUCUUCCUGCAUUGUCGGCUCAGCUUCUUCCCCUAUUGUUGUACCAUCGUAUUCUGGGAACCAUGGCUAGGAUAGUUGUCGUCGUCCUCUUCUUCUUCAUUGUCUUCCAUCAUAACCCCUCUUUCUCCAUGCUUGGUCCAAACAUUAUAGUGGGGCAUGAAACCGGACUCAAACAGGUGGACGUGAAUGGUUCUUGACUUAGAGUAAUUAUGAUAAUCCUUACAGCCAACACAUGGACAAGGCAUAAAACCAUCCGCCCGCUUGUUUGCCUCAGCCGCAAGUAGAAAAGUAUGCAUGCCAUUAAUGAACAGGGAGAGCAUUAGUCAUCGUACAUCCAUUACCGACUCAUCUUCAUUACACAGCACCGAAAAGACCAAAUUAAUACAAGUUCAUACAACACUUAUUCUCAUAAAACAACAUACAAAUAACUCUCUAGCCAAAGCAUUUAAAUGCAACAACAAAUGCGAUCAAGAUCGCAACUAAGGUAACAAUUGAUCCAACAUCAUAAUGACACCAAGCCUCACUAUCGAUGGCAUAUUUUCUAAUCUUUCUAAUCUUCAAGCGCAUUUUCUCCAUCUUGAUCUUGUGAUCAUCGACGACAUCGACAACAUGCAACUCCAAUUCCAUCUUCUCCCCCUCAAUUCUUUUCAAUUUUUCUUUCAAAUACUCGUUUUCUUUUUCAACUAAAUUUAACCUCUCAACAGUAGGGUCGGUUGGAAUUUCCGGUUCACAUACCUCCUAGAUAAAAAUAUCUAUGUCAACUUGAUGGGCAUAAUUUGUCAUAAACACGAAAUGCAACAGAUAGUUAUAAAAGAGAAUAUACCACAUCCGAAUCAUAACCCGGGCGAGGGCCGACGGGGACGGAUAUCAAAACCAUGGCACUAUGUAUAACAAACAACAUACGGGUAAGAUAAUUAUACAAGUAAUUAUAUAUCUAAAUCACAUAAACAUGAUUUUUUUUAUAUUAAAAAUAUAAGAACAAGAGGCUCACCACAAGGUGAAGCCGGCGACGGGACGGUGCGGGCGAUCGACGGUGGUUAGGAUGGAGACGGGAAGGCACUAAGUAAACCACACCUACAUAUGCAAACUAAGAGUUAUUUUGACCUCAAAUUGCAUAUAAAUCAAAUACUACCACAUAUAAUUCCUCCCAAAAUAAAACCCACAAAUCACUAUACUUAUAGAGCAUUGCAAGAGCUAAUCUAGCAAUGAGAGAUGAAAGGAUAAAGUUGCUAACCUUUGUGAUCACUUGGAUGGAUUGGUGCCUUCAUAUCUUCACAAAUUUUGGCAAAAAUGGAGUGUGAGCUCGAGAGGAAGAGGAAUACAACAAAGGAGAGGAAAGGGGAAGAACAGAGCGCUUGGGCUGGACGAAGGGGUUUAUAUAGGAAGACCUUUAGUACCGGUUUGUUAGACGAACCGGGACUAAAGGUGCAUUUCUAGUCCUGGUUCGUGGCAUGAACCGGUACUAGAGGUGUUGGUGGGCCCCCAGCCUGACAAAAGCCUGCCACCACCUCUUUAGUAUCGGUUCGUGGCACGAACCGGUACAAAAGGUUCUCCAUGAACCGGUACUAAUGCGAGCCGCCCGCCUAGCCGUUGGAACCGGCACUAAUGGUCACAUUAGUGCCGGUUCAAAUACAAAUCGGGACUAAUGAGCUUCACAUUAGGCCAUUUUUCUACUAGUGAUUACAACCAACCUAAGGGUACUUCCAAUGCGUUGGUGCUUAGAUGAAGUGUUAAGUGCAUUAAAAAGCUAAGCAACUAAUCCUCAUGCAUAGGUGCUUAGCUUUAGUAGCUAAACUUCCCCAUUUAAUUGUUUAAGGCUGGUCAUAGUGGGAGUAACAUAGCAAGUAACAUAACACAUCCCAAGAAAAGUUUGCUUACAUGGCAUGUAUUUAAUGAGGAGAGAGAUGGUUAGAGUAACAUAAUAUGUUACUGUAACAUAACACAUACCAAGGCAAAAUGUAUCUACAUCUUAAUAAAUGAUGUCUUGCAUGAUACUACAUACAUGUUACUCCUCACUAUGAAGGUGGUAACAUAGACUAGUAAUUACUCCCCACUAUGACCAGCCUAACAACUAAUCUCCUUCAUGCAUCAGUUUGUAAGCAUUUUGCAAAGGUCCAUGCGCUUAGCAUCAUUUCUUCAUUGGUCACCAUAAUGUUCUUUCUCCUCUUUAAUUGUGUUGCCACAUUACUUUUUUGCUUACGUGGCACCCUUAGCACAAUACACGGUGGAGCAAUAGGAAGGGCAUAAGCUACCUUCGUUUAUUAUUUAUCAACUGAAUUCUUUCAUCCAUUAGUGUGUUGUCUUCAUUUACGAGUCUUGCAUAGGUUCACACAUUUAGCCUUGUUUUUUCUUGGGGUCAUCAAAGUGCUCUCUAGCCUCCUUAAUUGCUUUCCCAUCUCACUAUUUUGCUUAUGUGGCAUGCUUAGCACAUGUACACCACAGAGCAUUGGGACUGACCUAAGAAACCCGAUAUUUGGGUGUGAAUCUGCUUUCACAAACCCGAUAUAUGGUUUGCUCUAAGCAAUCUUUAUUAGCCAUUGACACUACUAUAUAGUAUAUAAUCUUUGGAAACCCUAAAAAAAUUGAAGUUAUAUCGAAGUCCCUUUAUGAUGUCCUUCUUCAUCCCCCCGAACAUGCUGAUGCUGCGCUGCCUGAGCCAGUUUGCCAUUAUUGAUCACUAACGGGACACUAGUAAGGCAAUAGUGUUACCAGACCUAUGCACUGGAGAAGAAAUCGUCUCUGCUAAAAGAGGCGCAGAAUCAAGAGCUAGACUUCCACUAUAUUUCAAGACCUGAACUAACACCGAAGAUGUCACCAACAAGACAGACACGAGUUCGGAAGAUCAAACUACAAAGGUAAACAUUGCCUCCAUGCCAACGAACGUCUAGACAUCCAAGUGUUUUCCAAAGCCUCACAUCAGCACCGGAGACAUCACAAACUAGACAGAGACGAGACCAGAGGAUCAACCUGCAAAGGUAAGCAUUGCCGCCAUGCCAACGAACCAUGCAGAUGGUAACCUCGGUUGGUGAUCUUAUGCCUGAGGUUUGUGGUAAAUAGUGGAGGCCUAGCUCUUAAACCAUAUUAAAAAUUGGGAUAAUACUAAAUUGGAAAUAGUAGAGUUCUAGCUCUUAAACCCUAUGGGAUAUAAGUCAAUGUCUAGAUCUCGUUUCUUUCUUGUUGGAUUAAACCCCUAAGAAUAUUAAGUUGCCAACCCUAUUAUAAAUUCAAUUCAAUAAAAUGCAUAGAAUUUUUGUCUAUUAAAAGUGAGAGAUUUUACAUGAUGAUUUCUCUUGCAAACCCUAUAAUUAUGCUUCCAAUAUUAUUAGGGAGCUACAACAACUAUUCCAACAAAUUAUAUUGCCCUUUUAUUUAAUAAUGAUUAACUUGACCCUUCUUCCUUUUGAUGUUUUAGCAUGAGAUCGACUCUCGAACUCUGCAAAUACCCCUCUUGGGCUAUUUUGGAGCAACACAUAUUAUUCCACAGUUUUUAGUGCAAGCCUAUGACCCAGCCCUAGUUCAAACCUCCUUUAUGCCUUUUUUCGCCCUGUUAUUCGUGGACAAAUGCCAAACCUUGCCCAAAUGACCUGGUUAUUUUUGUGUGGCAUUGAUAUGUACGACAGAAAGGACAUUUAAAUUUGAUGACCAUUUGGAUUCCAUUUGACCCCUCACAUAUUUUCCUGAAAAACACUUUUUAAUUUCUAAAAAGAAAAUAUAAAAUAUUAACAAAAACCAACCUCCGCCUCUCUUAUCGGUCUAGCCCAUGAGUCUGCUACCUAUCCUACAUCCACACACGUUGAGCAGCGCCCAACCGCUCCCAGGUAGCCCGCUACCACCUAAGAGCAUCUCCAGCCGUUCGGCCCCCCAGGGCGACGAAAAAAGCCGCUUGGGGGCGAACCGGCACAAGUUUGGCGCUUGGGGGCGACUCGGUCCUCAGUCGUCGUCCACCAAGUCACCCUGAGUUCGGCGAAAUUACGUAGAAACUUGUGCAAAUCGGCGAUCUGGUACGAAGUCGGCGAAAUUUCAUUGAAAUUUGUAUAAAAAAAGAAAAAACAUGAAAACUACGGUAAACUACGCAAGCCACUACGCUGCUAGCCACUACUCCGCAUCCACCGCCAGCCAUCUACAGGAUGAGAAGCCUGUAGAAGCAGGUGUAGUCGCCGCCGUCGCCGUCAUCGUCGUCGCCGUCGCGCACCCCGCCGGACCCGCCCCCGCCCCUGCUAUAACCCUGCCCAGGGUCGCCGAUGCAGUCGGGCGCUGGACGGCCCGGCCUCUUCCUCCUCGUCGCUGUCGAAGACAAUGAUGCCGCCCUCCUCGCGGCCGUGUCGCCAGGCCUGGAGCUCCGCGUACGCCUGGCGCUGGCGACGCACCUGCUCGCCGACUUGGUCCUCCUUCGCCCAUUUUAGGGCGGCCUCAUCGUCGGGGCCAUCAUUUCAGCGUGCUCCGGCUUCACGGGGAGCAGGCCGGCUCGGGCUUCGGCCACACCAGGCGAAGGGAGCGCGUGGAGGGGCGAGCACCCUCGUUGAUGAUGAGGGCGCCACUGCGGGUGCGGCGCCCCUACGGUGUCUCAUCCGGUUCUGGCUUGACAGGACGGAGAGCCGGGGAGCCGGAGCCCGAAGACGAGGACGUCGGCUCCAUUCGCCGCAGCGUCCAGGAACUGCCGCGGUGACGAGAGAUGGACGGCCUCAUUGGGUACUGGAGGCGCGACACGUUGCCGGUCUCGAUCUGGUUGAGAAAGGCCUCGAGGGUGCGGCCGGGGACGUCCCACCACUCGCGCCGUCCUUCGGAGUUGAGGCGGCCGUGGCGAAUGACGCCAUUGACAGAGGCGAUCUGCUCCUUGCGGCGGCGCUCGAAAUACAUCGUCCACAGCGUUUUGCUGUCGGGCGCGUACCUCAGCUCGUUCCUCUGCUCCUCCGUCAGGGAGGAGCAGAUGCGGUCGAUCUCCGCCCAUUGUGCCGCCCCUUCGGGCACCGACAGCACCGGGACACCGCCGGCGCUCAGCCUCCACACCCCCAGCAUGCGCAUGUCAGGGGGCGCCGGGUACUCAGCCUCAUAGAGGAGGCACACCUCCGGCUCUUGGAGGUGUCGGCGCCGAAGCCGUUCGCCGCUGCGCCAUCGCCUGGAAACCUCUCGGCCAUCUUUGCUUUUGCUCGUCGGCGGGAAGGGGGGAGAGGGCUUUUGCGAGGGGGAGGUUGUGGCGUUCACCGGCGGGGAGGGGUCGCCUUUUAUAGCCCCAGCAGGGCGGCGGGGAGGCUGCAUGCCGGGCGACGCGUGGCGGGAGUUGGUGGGACGCGCGUCGUCGGCGCCUUCACUGCGCCGCCCGUGAGGCAUCAAUGGAGCAUCAAUGGAGGCUGACUGGCGCGGCAGCGCAGCAGCCGUGGCCAGCCUUGGCAUUGAUUCCCGCGGGAACCGAGGCGAUGAGGGCGACGAAGCGGCGUCUCGCUGACUAGGUGGCCCCGCCCCCAUUCAUGCCAAAACCGCUCGCCCCGGCGCCCCCCAGCGCGUCGAGUUCGGCCUAGGUCCACCGGCACUAACUUCGGCCCAACCCGGUGAAAAACGGGCUUUUGGGGGCGCGACUGGGCCGUUUUUUCAGCGCCGGUGCGAAAAAAUCGCCUUGGGGGAGCGAGUUGGGGGCGCGGCUCGAGAUGCUCUAACCCUAUGUGAGUCCCAGCCCAACCCACAAACUCCCUCGAUUGCCAUAUUUGUAAAUUAAUCGAAUUAAGAUCUGACAUGGAAAAAAAUAAUAUAUUAUGAAACUAUAAGGGUUUUUUUCUCCAAAAUAUCACAAAUAAAUAAAAAUAUGUAUAAUUUAGAAAAAUAUAAUCUCGAAUAUAAGUUAAUAAAAACAUCAUUAACCAAAUAUCUAAUGAAAUCCUAUAAAAGAUGUUUGAGAACUUUAAUAUAUUGGUAAGGGAUAAUUAAAUGCUACUUAUACCUUUCUUGCAAAAAUAGCACAUAACUGCCUAAAAAUGAGCUUUAUAUUUAGUUUUGGGCUUGCCAAAUUGUAAUGUACUAGAAGAUACCCCGCGCGUUGCUGCGGAAUAUUGUAGCAUGCAUUGUAUUAUGAUUAAAUAUGAAGAUAAAUGGUUUUGUAAGUACAGCAACAUGAAAUUGCAGCCAUGUAAGAACGGUAAAGAAAGAAAAUUGCAGCCAUGUACAGCAACAUGAAGUGUGCAACAUUCUGUCAUGGACCCAGGACACUGAUGACACUGGUGCAUAGCCAGUAGACAUUGGUAAUUGAAUUCAAAAUCAGGGAUAUUACACAUACAUAUACAUAGGUUAUACCAAAAAAAAGUCACUGUGCCGCUUUGUCCGUCCUUGUUAGAUGUCAUGAUGGCGAGGAAGCUAAAGCUCUCGGUGCAGGUCAUGUGGGUGUGCCCAUAACCGUUGAAAAUGAUUGCACCUUUGGUUAUUUUCUGUUGUAAAGAACAGAGGGCAGGACAUGUCAACGAUUGGUGCUAUUUAUUUCAGAUCUGGCGUUUUCUGUCUGCAAAUGUUAUCACCCAGAAACUUUGUAGUCCAUUAGAUAGAUCGUGUCUUAUGUUUGUGGGACUGGUACUGCAGUUUUGUGGAGAUCCUAGCUAGGAAGCCAACAUGUUAUAGGCAGCUCCAUCCAUAAGUCCUGAGAUUUAGAAGAGCAGCGUAGCAGGAAUCCAUGGAGCAAAAGCGGCCCAAGGCUACCAGUUUUUCAGUCUGGUCUGUUCUGUUGACAAAUUUGCUGCUCAGGACGCUCCAAAAACCAAAAAUAGCUCAGAGAGUUAGAAAGGGAGUUGUAAUCACAUCUCAAAACGUAAAGAAGAACAGAGAAUACGUGUGUACGCCUAAACGUAAAGAAGAACAGAGAAUACGUUUGUACGCCUAAACGUGCAAUGUAUCACAUCCUUGGAAUUCAGAAGGUUCAGGAGGGAACAUUGGCACAAUGCUCUGCAAGGAGUAGGACAGACCAGACGGAGCAGAAAACUCAGGGUCGACGAGGAUGGCGCACCCCGGCGGCGCCUUGGUCCAGUCGCCGAGCAGGCUGUGGCUAUAGCCGUCGCCGAGCCGCUUGAUGCACCAGAGGUCCUCGGCGCUGAGGCGCGCCCAGAGCGGCACGCCAGCGUGGACGGGCUUGAGAGAACGACCUCGGUGGCCACCACCCGCAGCUGCUACGUCGGGCCAUAUUGUGCUCGUGCCGACACAGCAGGCGCUCCAACCUCGGCGCCCCCGGCCGGCGCCGCCCAGGUCAUAUAGGAAAUAGAUCCUGAACGGCACAAGAGGUUCCGGGUGGAGGGUAUCCGGAUCAGAGCCACGGCGCCGCUCGCGACCGCCGCCGGUUCUACCCCAGCCAUUGGCCGCAAACCCUAAAGGAGUCUUGGUUCUGCUGCGUCCGUCGCCGCGUGGGGUUUGUGUUGUUUCGGGAGAGAUAUAGAUGUUGAAACGCCAUAGGCUUUGGCGUUUCUUCGCUAGCAUCCAACCCACUCGCUGUCUCGUCAGGGUCUUCCUCCUCUGAUGUCAGAGACGCCGGGCCAGAAACGCCAAGACUAGCGGCGUUUCCGGCCUUCUUAGAAACGCCAAGGUAAGAAACUACUCGAUAACCAGGGCCGCAACGCCAAGACAUAUGGCAUUUGUUUCUUGGUCAGAAACGCCAACGCCUAUGGUGUUUCUGUCCAAAACGCGAGCUACCUCGGCGUUUCUUUAUUGGAUAGAAGCGCUAGCUACCUCGGCGUUGCUAUGUUGGGCAGAAACGCCGCGGGCUAUGACGUUGCUAAAAAGGGUCAGAUCGUGAAAUACUUUCAUGUCGAGUUUAUUUUGUGACAAAGUUUGCUCAAAGAGUCAGAAUAGUGAAAAAGGCCAAGGGGAGACGGGGCGGCCGGCUUGAUUCGAUCGCACGAAGACGUUUCGAUUGCAGGGCGGUUCGCUUCCGCUUCUGUCGGCUGAAACAGGAGGGGCGUGGAGCGGUUGCUCAAAAAAAAAAGAGGGGCGUGGAGCGCGGGGGAUGUAAGCGGUCUGUAGUCAAUCAAACGGCUGAAAACAUUGUGAUGACGUGGACGCACGAGAACGCACGAAAAUCAUCUAGUGGAGGGCUUCUAUUUAGAUAUAGUAGAUUAAUUAUUUCCCUCUUUUAGCAUGAUUAGUUAAUUUGUUCUUAUCUUCAAACAUGUGGGCAUCCUAUAUUAAAAGGCACACAUCCAUUGACAUUACACUAACAUAUCAGAUAGUUCUAGCGGCUGUAACAAGAGAUGAGGACUACACAAAUUCUACUCUUGGGCCUUGCCCUCGUCCUUCUAUCCUCGGGUAUCUUCAAUACCUACACAUCUUAUCUACGUGUUCCGUUAAGCCCUCUAACACAUGUCACAAUUUUCAUUCCUAACGGUCUUCCUCUAUUCUCUCUUGAUAUUUUUCUAUAGGCAUGGAAACCAUCGAGGCACGUGGAGCCUGCUGCCCUCAGAUCGAAAAGGGUAAGUGUAACAACAAUGAUUGUGCGACUUAUUGCAAGAUGGUGAAUGGUUGGGAGUGGGGUUGCGUCCCUGAGGGAUGCAGGUGUGUAUCGUGCUGGAAAGAUCCACAGUGCUCAGGGCCAGAAGUACGACGACGACCACCAAGACCCUUGAUGUAACAUUUUCUUUCAUGGUUGUUGCAUUAAUAUACAAAAAAUAAUAU